GUGUAUAUAAUUUAAAUAAAAUAUUAAAGUGUGACUUUAAUU
rnacentral:tRNA from 1 species